AUUGAACGCUGGCGGCAGGCCUAACACAUGCAAGUCGAGCGAGAGGCGGACGGGUGAGUAAUGUAUGGGGACUGCCCGCUAGAGGGGGAUAACUACUGGAAACGGUAGCUAAUACCGCAUACUAUCGGAUAACCCAUAUGGGAUUAGCUAGUGGGUGAGGUAAUGGCCCACCAAGUGGACGAUCCCUACCUGGUCUGAGAGGAUGAUCAGCCACACUGGGACUGAGACACGGUCCAGACUCCUACGGAGGCAGCAGUGGGGAAUAUUGCACAAUGGGCGCAAGCCUGAUGCAGCCAUGCCGCGGGUAUGAAGAAGGCCCUCGGGUUGUAAAGUACUUUCAGUCGGGAGGCGUUACCGACAGAAGAAGCACCGGCUAACUCCGUGCCAGCAGCCGCGGUAAUUC
rnacentral:rRNA from 1 species